rnacentral:rRNA from 1 species
UACGUAGGGUCCGAGCGUUGUCCGGAAUUACUGGGCGUAAAGAGCUCGUAGGUGGUUUGUCACGUUGUUCGUGAAAACCCACAGCUCAACUGUGGGCGUGCGAGCGAUACGGGCAGACUAGAGUACUGCAGGGGAGACUGGAAGUUCCUGGUGUCAGCGGUGGAAUGCGCAGAUAUCAGGAGGAACACCGGUGGCGAAGGCGGGUCUCUGGGCAGUAACUGACGCUGGAGGAGCGAAAGCGUGGGGAGCGAACAGG